rnacentral:tRNA from 1 species
GCCGAUGUGGUGAAAUGGCAGACACGGUAGACUCAAAAUCUACUGUCCGUGAGGAUGUGUCGGUUCAAGUCCGACCAUCGGCA